CAAAGGCCCGGUUCGACCAGGCCGCACCGAGACACUAAACCAGCUUUCUGAUAUUCAUCCGCCCUGGAACCCGGAUUUAAAAAUCUCAUUUUCUGAUUUCCCAGGACGCCGACGUGGACGCCCAGCCUGAAAAACUACAAACUUCUGCGGAUUCACCUGAAAUCGUCUCCGUGUUGAUUGGGCCUACUAGUCUGGCGCCUAAACACACCUGCUGAGAAUCAGGUGGAGUGGGCUAACAGGGCGCGGGACCGCCAUGUUUGAAAUCGCUGCGUUUGUUUCAAGCAGCAGAGGACCGACCCGGCCAUGGCGUCUCAGCGGUGGUUUGUCUGGCUGCUGAUGAAGACAAGCUGAGGACCGCCAUCUUUGAAAUCGCUGCGUUUGUUACAAGCAGCAGAAGGCCACCCGACCACGGCAUCGCAGCGAUGGUUUGUUUGGGUGCUGGCGUCCCUGAAAUAUGUGGAAAAAAUGGCGUCUGGAGCCAGCAGUUGAUCGA